GCUCGCUCCCUCCUUCGCUCGCUCGCGGGUACAGUAGGUGUACAGCUUGGGGUAGAGGACACGGGCUGCUGGGAGGCUAAACCUGACUUCUCUUCAUUGUGGGCUCUUAUUGGUAGGCAGGCUACCGUAAACCCUCUAUGUGCUGUCUAGAGCCCCUUACCGAGCACACUCUAUUUAAAGAUAAUGGCAGAAGAGGGCACUGGGGGACAAGGGUUCGGUGGCGAGUUGUUUGCAAAGCCAAGUAAGGAUAAACUGCUGAGUGACCAGCCUGAAGCGUGCGUUACAGGCAUUGCAGCGUUUUGACCACUGCCUGACUGGAAGGAGGAAAAAGUGAUAUGUGAACAGAGAUGGUGGGGGAAGGGGAGAAACCGGUUGGGCAAGCGUGGUUGCUUAGCAUAAGCUAACGAAUUUCAAAAAAAAAGUAAUAAAACCAGACAAGAAAUAAUGUUCUUAGACAAGAGCAUUUUUGGCUUUUUUUUCUUUUUUUCUUCUUUUUUUUAAAACCCGUGCUUUGCAGGCAGGAUGGAAAUGAACUCAGUUGAGGCCAAAAAAAUCUUAAAGGAGAAUACUAUAAAGAGCAUGAAAGAGAAGCACGUAUAAUUUAAUAAGUAGGGUUUGCUUUCUCAACUGCAUUCUCUUCCGUCUCUUAAUUAAAUAGCGAUGAAAAACAACCAAGUUGUUUGCAUGAUGACACCAGGGGGAAGAAAGGCUUGACCACUUCCUCGAAGGAAGAAAAGUCCUUUUUUAAGACACCGCCUACAGCUGGAUUUGUAGAGUAUGACCUGGUUACAACUCUUAUGUCCAGAGGAUUAAGAAUAGAGUUCGGCCUAAAAAAGUACCACCUUAUAAAAGUGAUGCUCACUCCAAAUGAAAUGAAAUGUUGGCCUCUGGCUCAAAAACCGUGGUGGCCAGUAUUUGGAAGACAAAGUUGUUUAAGUGAACUGCUUAAAAAUCACCAAACAUAGAUUUCUGUGAAUAGACCAGAAGCCUACUUCUACAGGAUAUUUGGAUGCAGAUAAUAUGAAGUCCCUCUGAGAAGAUACUACCUUGCUAAUAAGACAGUCAAUUACAUCUUGCUGAAUUUUUUAAACACAAUAGUUCUCCAACGAAUUUGAAGACAAAUUAAUUACUUUGUUUUCUACAUGGACUCUAUGGAUCAUAAGCACCUAUUUCUUAAACAUUAUGGAGAAAAACAGUUUUCUCCAUUUUCUGUGAUUAUACAUACAUAGUAACGGUCCCUUCAGAAUGUACCUAAA